AUGCUCGACUUCGACUCCGAAAACAUCGACGGUAUGGACGAUAGUGCGGGAGACAAAGAGGAACCACUGCCCAUAGGGCACUGGACGUCCACCUCAUCACAUGAUGUAUACAUGGUGGACACACCAAAGGAAAACAACGACGAGGAACGGAAGGACACAACGAAGGGCUGUCCCCUCGAGAAGCAGUCAAAGCGGCGACGUAAGCGCCGCCCCAAAUCCCGCCUUGACAGAAAUAAUGAUCAUAUAGACCUAGUGUUAGAGCAGGGCGAACCACUGCCGGACCACGGCAACGCAGAGAAUCAAACCGAACAAACCAACUCUGUCAAAGGAUAA
rnacentral:rRNA from 1 species